rnacentral:lncRNA from 1 species
CAUUUUACCUGAAUGUAGGCCUGUUCUUUGAGGGCAUAGGAUCCCCUGGAACUAGAGUUUUCAUAUGGAUGCUGGGAAUCAACCCAAGGUUCUCUGCAUGAGCAGUAAGUGCUCUAAGAGCACUGAGCCAUCUCUCCGUCCCCCAUCUGUGAUAGUGUGUGUGUAUAUACAUACAUACAUACAUAUAUAUGUAUAUGUAUACACAAUUUUUAAAUGAAAUUUCACUUUUGUUUUGUUUUUCGUAUAACUAAAAGAGAAGUAAUAACCAUUCCUUGGCUUUUACUCUUAACAACUUGAGGUGUCCUGUUUAUUUGUUCAGUGUGUGAACUUUGUUCAUAGUUCAUUCCGAGUCAGACAGUUUACCCAGCAGAUACUAGAAAACAGCAGAUUUCAGUAUAUAAGUAACCUGUAACACCUCCCCCAAUGUCUGCUACAAGUUUUUAAAAUAAUGUGUGUCUUUGUUUCUGUUUGUUCUAGGUUUUUAGAACUUCAGCUAUCAAAAUGGGCAGAAUCUUUCUUGAUCAUAUCGGUGGUACCCGUCUGUUUUCUUGUGCAAACUGUGAUACAAUCCUGACCAAUCGCUCAGAACUCAUCUCUACUCGGUUCACAGGCGCCACUGGUAGAGCAUUUCUUUUUAACAAGGUAGUUAACUUGCAGUACAGUGAAGUUCAAGAUCGGGUCAUGCUCACUGGCCGCCACAUGGUUCGAGAUGUGAGCUGCAAAAACUGCAAUAGCAAACUGGGAUGGAUCUAUGAGUUUGCUACUGAAGACAGCCAGCGUUAUAAGGAAGGCCGUGUGAUCCUGGAACGUGCACUAGUUCGAGAGAGUGAAGGCUUUGAGGAGCAUGUACCAUCUGAUAACUCUUGAAGAAAAAAGAUAAACCCAUCUUUUCCCAGGUCUCCUUCACUGAAAACAAAAAUCUCCUUACAUACACUGUCACCUUAGCAUCAGAGUCGGAUUCAUGAACUGCGGAACAAGAG